rnacentral:rRNA from 1 species
AGAGAGAGACAUGCGCGCAUAUCAAUAAGCGGAGGAAAAGAAACUAACAAGGAUUCCCUUAGUAACGGCGAGUGAAGCGGGAAGAGCUCAAAUUUGAAAUCUUCAAGGUUCUACCUUGACGAAUUGUAGUUUAUAGAAGUGUUUUCUGUUAGUGGAGUGGCAAAAGUUCUUUGGAAUAGGACAUCAUAGAGGGUGAGAAUCCCGUAUUUGGUCAUUCCUCUUAGCGUUGUGAUACACUUUCAACGAGUCGGAUUGUUUGGGAAUGCAGUCCAAAAUGGGUGGUAAAUUUCAUCUAAAGCUAAAUAUUGGCGAGAGACCGAUAGCGAACAAGUACCGUGAGGGAAAGAUGAAAAGAACUUUGAAAAGAGAGUUAAACAGUACGUGAAAUUGUCAAAAGGGAAGCGUUUGACACCAGUGUUGUUUUCUCGAAAAUCAAUUAAGAAGUGUUUGAUUUUGUAGGAGUUAUGACCUUAUCAGCUUACUGUACUCUUUUCCUGAACUCUUUUAAUGCACUUUUCGGUUAACAAGUCAACAUCAAUUUCUUUUGUUGUAAAAGAGGUCAUUGAGGAAGGUGGCUUUCACUUUCGGAUGAAAGUGUUUAUAGCCUUUGGCUUCUGCAAUCGGAGAGAUUGAGGUCUGCAGCGUAGAUCCUUCGGGGUUAGAUACAUUAGAUGCUAAGUUAUAGUUUUUAUAGACAACUUGUUGACUAUAGUUAGUCAUGUAGCUUACUCGUUAUGCCUAUUUUACCUACGCUUAGGAUGUUGAUAGUCACAGCGUGUAC